rnacentral:rRNA from 1 species
CAAGAGUACGUGAAACCGUUUAGGGGUAAACCUGAGAAACCCGAAAGAUCGAAUGAGGAGAUUCAUCGUCAGCGUGAUUGGUUUCCAUGCAUUUCGCGAUGAAGAUGGAAUUUAUUUCAAAUUCACGCAUUUGCUGUGGUUAUAUCUGAUUACGUCGGCGUGCACUUCUCCUCUAGUAGAACGUUGCGACCCGCUGGGUGUUGGCUUAAGAACCAAGCUGUAGACUGUUUUUGUUUGUUUACGCAUUCAUUGGCAGACACUUGUGUUUCUGGCUGACUGCUUGGCGGUACAAACAAGAUAUUGAGCCGCACUUUUUGGAAUGCGUUCAGACUCAUUUACAAGCUAAUUAUUUUAAAUAACUUGAGGGUGCGGACCUAGUGCCGUCCUUGAGGGUAAUUGGCUGUUAGUUAAUGAUGUUCUCGAACUGGCUAAAAUUGAAAUAACAAUAUCGGUCAGCGACGCUAUUGCUUUGGG